rnacentral:rRNA from 1 species
UAACUUACCGAUCCCUCCUACCGAUGGCUCCCUCCAGAAGGGUUGGGCCACCGGCUUCGGGUGUUACCUACUUAAUGACUUGACGGGGGGUGUGUAAAACACCCGGGAACUUAUUCCCCGCAUGGUUGGUUAUUUGGAAUUACUAGGGACUCGGACUUCAUGGGGGGGAGUUGCAGACCUCAAUCCGAACUGGGACCGGCUUUUUGGGAUUCGGUCCACCUCCCGGGAUUGCAGCCCUUUGUACCGGCCACUGUAGCCUGCGGGAAGCCCAAGACAUAAGGGGCAGGAUGAUUUGACGUCAUCCCCACCUUCUUCCGAGUGGACCCCGGCAGUAUCCCAUGAGUUCCCACCAUAACGUGCUGGCAACAUAGAACGAGGGUUGCGCUCGUUGCGGGACUUAACCCAACAUCUCACGACACGAGCUGACGACAACCAUGCACCACCUGUUCACCAGUGUCCAAAGAGUCCCGUAUUUCUACGGUGUUCUGGUGUAUGUCAAGCCUUGGUAAGGUUCUUCGCGUUGCAUCGAAUUAAUCCGCAUGCUCCGCCGCUUGUGCGGGUCCCCGUCAAUUCCUUUGAGUUUUAGCCUUGCGGCCGUACUCCCCAGGCGGGGAACUUAAUGCGUUAGCUGCGUCACGGAAACCGUGGAAUGGUCCCCACAACUAGUUCCCAACGUUUACGGGGUGGACUACCAGGGUAUCUAAGCCUGUUUGCUCCCCACCCUUUCGCUCCUCAGCGUCAGUUACGGCCCAGAGAUCUGCCUUCGCCAUCGGUGUUCCUCCUGAUAUCUGCGCAUUCCACCGCUACACCAGGAAUUCCAAUCUCCCCUACCGCACUCUAGUCUGCCCGUACCCACUGCAGGCCCGAGGUUGAGCCUCGGGAUUUCACAGCAGACGCGACAAACCGCCUACGAGCUCUUUACGCCCAAUAAUUCCGGAUAACGCUUGCGCCCUACGUAUUACCGCGGCUGCUGGCACGUAGUUAGCCGGCGCUUUUUCUGCAGGUACCGUCACAAAAGCUUCUUCCCUGCUAAAAGAGGUUUACAACCCGAAGGCCGUCAUCCCUCACGCGGCGUUGCUGCAUCAGGCUUCCGCCCAUUGUGCAAUAUUCCCCACUGCUGCCUCCCGUAGGAGUCUGGGCCGUGUCUCAGUCCCAGUGUGGCCGGUCACCCUCUCAGGCCGGCUACCCGUCGACGCCUUGGUGAGCCAUUACCUCACCAACAAGCUGAUAGGCCGCGAGCCCAUCCCAGACCGAAAAAUCUUUCCAACCCCCACCAUGCGGAAGGAGCUCAUAUCCAGUAUUAGACACCGUUUCCAGCGCUUAUCCCAGAGUCCAGGGCAGGUUGCUCACGUGUUACUCACCCGUUCGCCACUGAUCCACCAAGCAAGCUUGGCAUCACCGUUCGACCUUG